CCUACGGGAGGCAGCAGUGAGGAAUAUUGGUCAAUGGACGCAAGUCUGAACCAGCCAUGCCGCGUGCAGGAAGACGGCUCUAUGAGUUGUAAACUGCUUUUGUACGGGGGUAAACUCCGAUACGCGUAUCUGUCUGCACGUAUCGUUCGAAUAAGGAUCGGCUAAUUCCGUGCCAGCAGCCGCGGUAAUACGGAGGAUUCAAGCGUUAUCCGGAUUUAUUGGGUUUAAAGGGUGCGUAGGCGGUCGGAUAAGUUAGAGGUGAAAUCCCGAGGCCCAAAUUCGGAAUUGCCUGUGAUACUGUGCGGCUAGAGUGGGCGAGAAGUAUGCGGAAGGCGUGGUGUAGCGGUGAAAUGCAUAGAUAUCACGCAGAACUCCGAUUGCGAAGGCAGCAUACCGGAGCCCAACUGACGCGCAGGCACGAAAGCGUGGGUAGCGAACAGGAUUAGAUACCCGAGUAGUC
rnacentral:rRNA from 1 species